UGCAGGGAAAUGAGGGUGGCACAUGAGGCAGGCUGAGGGAAAGCGAGUAGGAGUGAGACUUUCGGGUUGCCAUUGCCUGAUGGUUAUGGAAGGCCAGUGGGUUGCCAGUUUGAUUUCCUGGAACGGGUGGGACAGUAACAGUGGCGAGCAAGGCACUUCACCCCCAGCUCUGGGCUGAUGUGCCAGGCAGCUCCCAGGGCCAGGCCAGGGAGGCCGGCGUGGGUUCAGUCGUCGGGUCAGGGGUCACCGCGGGACGAGCGGACCCUGUGGUCGGCCAGGACCUGCCCCCCCCACAUGCGGACCUCCCUGCUGCUUCUCACCCACCUCCUCCCCUUCCCCCCGGGCAAAGCCAAGAAGCACCAGCACCGGCCAAGAACCACCCAGGGAAGGCUGGAAAAGCGGUGAUUGAGAGGGUGGUGCUGAGAGAAGUCACGCACAAGCCUGAUGACACUGGAGAAUAUAUGCUGGAGGCCAGCUGGUCAGACGGCUGUGUGUCCUCUGUGGUCCGAACUCAGCAGGAGGUGAUGGAGCUGCUGUCCCAGCUAUCACAAGCAUUUCCUGAUGAAGGGGUGGAAAAGUUCCUCCCUCAGUCCCUGGAGCUGGACCCCAGGUGUGUGACGGCGCUGCCCUGCCACAUCCUGCAGCACCACAGCGUCCAGCUCUUCUUCUCCUCCAGCAGGCCGCUGUCGCCCGGCGGUCCUCCUGCCCUGCCCUCCCCCCUGCCGGCCCUCCCCUCCUCCCCCCCCAGGGCUCCGGUGGCCCUCGCCUGCCCCUUCACCUCCAGCAGCAGUCUGGGCUGUUUGCUGCAGUACAGAGGAGCCAACAGGUAGGAUUUCCCUCUCCUGCUCUUUCUCUCUCUCUCUGAUAUGAUUAAACAGAAAAGAGGGCUGUCAGAUGAGGGAGGCGUGGCCCUGAUCCUCCUUCCUGUUCCCCUGCAGGGCGGCGUACGGAGCGGCCAGCGUCCAGCCCGUCGUGACUGUCCACAGCUCCCCCCUGACUCGCUCCAACCCUCACCUCUCCUCUCUCC
rnacentral:lncRNA from 1 species